CAGACAUUCAUUUAAGGCGCAUGCGCAGAAGCACGGUACGUUCAUAUUAUCCACGAACCGACUCCGGAUACGGCGGCUACACGCAUCACCUGAGAUGUCGGUGUGAACAACUGAUCUUUCCAAGAUGAAUAAAUUAAGAACAGCAUCAGAAAAAAGCUUAACUAACAAUUCUCGGAUUGUAAGUUUAUUGACACCAACUUAGGAAGAUCAAUGGAAUGUUUGAGAGCUGACACCAGAUAU